GGGAGUGGUGGAGCCGGUGACCCGAGCUGGUAGUAGGUGAGUGAUGGGGUGACGCAGGAAGGUAGUCCAUCCCGGGCGGUGGUUGUCCCGGGGUAAGGGUGUAGGACGUCAGGUAGGUAAAUCCGCCUGGCAAUAGUCUGAGACCUGAUGCCGAGCCGAUUGUGGUGAAGUGGAUGAUCCUAUGCUGUCGAGAAAAGCCUCUAGCGAGUUUCAUGGCGGCCCGUACCCUAAACCGACUCAGGUGGUCAGGUAGAGAAUACCGAGGCGUUCGGGUGAACUAUGGUUAAGGAACUCGGCAAAAUGCCCCCGUAACUUCGGGAGAAGGGGGGCCACACUCGGUGAUCCGAUUUACUCGGUGAGCUGGGGGUGGCCGCAGAGACCAGCGAGAAGCGACUGUUUACUAAAAACACAGGUCCGUGCGAAGCCGUAAGGCGAUGUAUACGGACUGACGCCUGCCCGGUGCUGGAACGUUAAGGGGACCGGUUAGCUCACUUUCGGGUGGGCGAAGCUGAGAACUUAAGCGCCAGUAAACGGCGGUGGUAACUAUAACCAUCCUAAGGUAGCGAAAUUCCUUGUCGGGUAAGUUCCGACCUGCACGAAUGGCGUAACGACUUCUCGACUGUCUCAACCAUAGGCCCGGUGAAAUUGCACUACGAGUAAAGAUGCUCGUUUCGCGCAGCAGGACGGAAAGACCCCGGGACCUUUACUACAGUUUGAUAUUGGUGUUCGGUUCGGCUUGUGUAGGAUAGCUGGGAGACUGUGAAGCCUGGACGCCAGUUCGGGUGGAGUCGUCGUUGAAAUACCAGUCUGGUCGUGCUGGAUGUCUAACCUGGGUCCGUGAUCCGGAUCAGGGACAGUGUCUGAUGGGUAGUUUAACUGGGGCGGUUGCCUCCUAAAGGGUAACGGAGGCGCCCAAAGGUUCCCUCAGCCUGGUUGGCAAUCAGGUGUUGAGUGUAAGUGCACAAGGGAGCUUGACUGUGAGACCGACGGGUCGAGCAGGGACGAAAGUCGGGACUAGUGAUCCGGCGGUGGCUUGUGGAAGCGCCGUCGCUCAACGGAUAAAAGGUACCCCGGGGAUAACAGGCUGAUCUUCCCCAAGAGUCCAUAUCGACGGGAUGGUUUGGCACCUCGAUGUCGGCUCGUCGCAUCCUGGGGCUGGAGUCGGUCCCAAGGGUUGGGCUGUUCGCCCAUUAAAGCGGUACGCGAGCUGGGUUUAGAACGUCGUGAGACAGUUCGGUCCCUAUCCGCUGUGCGCGUAGGAGUCUUGAGAAGGGCUGUCCCUAGUACGAGAGGACCGGGACGGACGAACCUCUGGUGUGCCAGUUGUUCUGCCAAGGGCAUGGCUGGUUGGCUACGUUCGGGAGGGAUAACCGCUGAAAGCAUCUAAGCGGGAAGCCUGCUUCGAGAUGAGGGCUCCCACCCACUUGAUGGGGUAAGGCUCCCAGUAGACGACUGGGUUGAUAGGCCGGAUAUGGAAGCACGGUAACGUGUGGAGUUGACCGGUACUAAUAGGCCGAGGGCUUGUCCU
rnacentral:rRNA from 1 species